AUAGCAUAUCAAUAAGCGGAGGAAAAGAAACCAACAGGGAUUGCCCUAGUAACGGCGAGUGAAGCGGCAACAGCUCAAAUUUGAAAUCUGGCUCUUUCAGAGUCCGAGUUGUAAUUUGCAGAGGGCGCUUUGGCGUUGGCAGCGGUCCAAGUUCCUUGGAACAGGACGUCACAGAGGGUGAGAAUCCCGUACGUGGUCGCUGGCCUUCGCCGUGUAAAGCCCCUUCGACGAGUCGAGUUGUUUGGGAAUGCAGCUCUAAAUGGGAGGUAAAUUUCUUCUAAAGCUAAAUACUGGCCAGAGACCGAUAGCGCACAAGUAGAGUGAUCGAAAGAUGAAAAGCACUUUGGAAAGAGAGUCAAAUAGCACGUGAAAUUGUUGAAAGGGAAGCGCUUGCAGCCAGACUUGCCUGUAGUUGCUCAUCCGGGCUUUUGCCCGGUGCACUCUUCUGCGGGCAGGCCAGCAUCAGUUUAGGCGGUUGGAUAAAGGUCUCUAUCAAGUACCUCUCUUCGGGGAGGCCUUAUAGGGGAGACGUAAUGCAGCCAGCUUGAACUGAGGUCCGCGCAUUUUGCUAGGAUGCUGGCGUAAUGGCUGUAAGCGGCCCGUCUUGAAACACGGACCAAGGAGUCUAACAUCUAUGCGAGUGUUUGGGUGUCAAGCCCGAACGCGUAAUGAAAGUGAACGGAGGUGGGAACCCAUUAGGGUGCACCAUCGACCGAUCCUGAUGUCUUCGGAUGGAUUUGAGUAAGAGCAUGGCUGUUGGGACCCGAAAGAUGGUGAACUAUGCUUGAAUAGGGUGAAGCCAGAGGAAACUCUGGUGGAGGCUCGCAGCGGUUCUGACGUGCAAAUCGAUCGUCAAAUUUGGGCAUAGGGGCGAAAGACUAAUCGAACUAUCUAGUAGCUGGUUCUGCGA
rnacentral:rRNA from 1 species